AUUGAACGCUGGCGGAAUGCUUUACACAUGCAAGUCGAACGGCAGCACGGGGCAACCUGGUGGCGAGUGGCGAACGGGUGAGUAAUACAUCGGAACGUGCCCAAUCGUGGGGGAUAACGUAGCGAAAGUUACGCUAAUACCGCAUACGAUCUACGGAUGAAAGCGGGGGAUCGCAAGACCUCGCGCGAGUGGAGCGGCCGAUGUCAGAUUAGGUAGUUGGUGGGGUAAAGGCUCACCAAGCCAACGAUCUGUAGCUGGUCUGAGAGGACGACCAGCCACACUGGAACUGAGACACGGUCCAGACCUCCGUACGGGAGCACGCAGGGUAGGGGUUAAUUUUUCGGAACAAGGUUGGGGCCGACG
rnacentral:rRNA from 1 species